UCCUCCUAUCCGCUAGUUGAAGUAGCGGAUCUCUAUAUGAAUUUGUGUGUGUAUGUUCGUCUGUUAUCCCUAAAAGCUGAAGAUAUCAUCAUAUAUCAAUACCCAGAUGUCCUGUUUUAACUCUCUUUACAUGAACUAAAAAGAUGUAGCUUCAAUAAAAUGAAUAUAAUUCUCUGAAAGCGGAAAAUUAGUAAGAACACACAUUAGCCAACAAUGGCUAGAAAUAAUUCUGACACAAAUUGUAUAAGAAAUUUUGGUAAUCACUGAACUAAAUAUAAGAACAAACUGAUAAUCAUUGAACUGAAUAUAAGAACAAACUGAAUAGAGGCACUGCAUAUAGUCAAAAUUAUACAGGAGGCCUCAUCUGAUUCUGGAGCAGCAUCAUAUGUUCAUGAAAAACAGGGGGUGGGGAAAUUAAUAUAAAAAAAAAACAGAUACAAAGAAAAAAGAGAGGGUAACAUUGGCUCAAGACUGGAUCAAAAUCCUAGAUCAAACCAAAUCAGUCCUAUAGCAAGUUGGAUCAAAAUUCAUAGCAAAAAAAUUUAUAUCAAAUCUUAUUCUCUUGGGAUGAAGAUCUGCUGAACUUAUUUCUCCGUAUCUGCUGCGACUCUGCGACUGGAUGAAGAUCGAUCUGCUGAACUUAUUUCUUCGUAUACGACUGGAUGAAGAUCUGCACUACUUAUUCCUUCGUAUCAGAUCUGCUGAACUUAUUCCCCUUCGUAUCAGAUCUGCUGAACUUAUUCCUUUCAAUUCUGUCUAAACUUUAUUGGAAACACGUCCGCUAGUUAAGUAGCGGACGACGCUAUUCCCUUUUUAAUCUCCACCAUUGAUUAUUAUAAU
rnacentral:lncRNA from 1 species